rnacentral:rRNA from 1 species
AGACCCGAAACCCGGUGAUCUAGCCAUGGGCAGGUUGAAGGUUGGGUAACACUAACUGGAGGACCGAACCGACUAAUGUUGAAAAAUUAGCGGAUGACCUGUGGCUGGGGGUGAAAGGCCAAUCAAACCGGGAGAUAGCUGGUUCUCCCCGAAAGCUAUUUAGGUAGCGCCUCGUGAAUUCAUCUCCGGGGGUAGAGCACUGUUUCGGCUAGGGGGCCAUCCCGGCUUACCAACCCGAUGCAAACUGCGAAUACCGGAGAAUGUUAUCACGGGAGACACACGGCGGGUGCUAACGUCCGUCGUGAAGAGGGAAACAACCCAGACCGCCAGCUAAGGUCCCAAAGUCAUGGUUAAGUGGGAAACGAUGUGGGAAGGCCCAGACAGCCAGGAUGUUGGCUUAGAAGCAGCCAUCAUUUAAAGAAAGCGUAAUAGCUCACUGGUCGAGUCGGCCUGCGCGGAAGAUGUAACGGGGCUAAACCAUGCACCGAAGCUGCGGCAGCGACGCUUAUGCGUUGUUGGGUAGGGGAGCGUUCUGUAAGCCUGUGAAGGUGGCCUGUGAGGGUUGCUGGAGGUAUCAGAAGUGCGAAUGCUGACAUAAGUAACGAUAAA